rnacentral:rRNA from 1 species
AUUGAACGCUGGCGGCAUGCUCUACACAUGCAAGUCGAACGGAAAGGCCCAGCUUGCUGGGUGCUCGAGUGGCGAACGGGUGAGUAACACGUGGGUGAUCUGCCCCUAACUUCGGGAUAAGCUUGGGAAACUGGGUCUAAUACCGGAUAGGAUAAUCGUUUAGUGUCGGUUGUGGAAAGUUUUUUCGGUUAGGGAUGAGCCCGCGGCCUAUCAGCUUGUUGGUGGGGUAAUGGCCUACCAAGGCGUCGACGGGUAGCCGGUCUGAGAGGGUGGACGGCCACAUUGGGACUGAGAUACGGCCCAGACUCCUACGGGAGGCAGCAGUGGGGAAUAUUGCACAAUGGGCGCAAGCCUGAUGCAGCGACGCCGCGUGGGGGAUGACGGCCUUCGGGUUGUAAACCUCUUUCGACAGGGACGAAGCUUUGGUGACGGUACCUGUAUAAGAAGCACCGGCUAACUACGUGCCAGCCGCCGCAGUAAAAC